GGGCUGUGGCUCAGCGGUAGAGUGCUUGCCUAGCACAUGCAAGGCACUGAGUUCGAUCCUCAGGACCA
rnacentral:tRNA from 1 species